AGGAUGAGAAAAGAAAAUGCUGAGGAAAAAGAGGAAAAAAAGAGGAAAAUGGAUAUGUCUGUACCCUACUAUGCACUCUAAAAUCUGUAUAGAAUCUACUGAAUAAAGAAGAAAGUUGCUGGAAGAGAUACUGGCACGCUGACAUUCAUUCCUCUGCAUGUACUAAGAAUUCAUUCUGCGUUGUGUACUAAGAACUGCUCCAGCUCCCAUCAGAAUUUUUGCUUCCUUACACGUGGCUCUUCAUAUUCAGGAAAGCCAUCAGAUCAACCCUAAUCAUAUCAUAGGAUAUGAUAUCACUGCUCAUCAUACAAAUUGACUUCAUGUAAGUUUUGUUGGAGUAAUUUGGGUGGUUUUCUGUCUGUGUGUAUAGACAGCUUCCCAGGUUACAAUCUGUGCUGGUUCAGUGAAAGCCAAAGUAUGCCUUUCUGACAGCUCAGUCAGGUGAACUGCUACAUCUCUGAGGUAGAAGAAAAAAUGUUUUGAGAGAGAUUGAAAAAUGUUGCAUUUAAUCUUUUCAACAAGAAGCCAUCAAUCCAUUGCCUUUGGGGAGACACUGAGAAAACUUCAGAGUAACAGAAGAUGAUUUACAUUUCAUAGCUUAAAUACAAGAGCAGAGAAAAUAGGCCAUUAUAGCGAUGGAACUACCUUCAUUGUUACUUGAUCUACAAAAACAAUAUCUUCUAAGAGGAUUGAAGGCUGAUAAGUAAUCUGUAGCUACAUCAUUCAGCUACUCUUUUUUACAAAUGAAAGCCUUCACAUAAAAUUUAAACCUAUCUUUUCACCAUGACUAUUUAGAUAUUACAAAAAAAAAAACCUAAUUCAUAGCAGUGGGGUUACAGAAUGAAAUAUCUUUUUGGUCAGUGCUUUGCUGGUUACAGUUAUCAGGUCUCACUGCAACAAGAUUUCUUAUCUUAUAUCUUAUCUUAGAGUUUUUACACUGAGAAGCAGGUUGUAUGUGUAUAUUAUUUUUAUACAUGUAUGGAUGUGCAAAAACACAAUCAGUAGGCUGAACAAGUUACUGCCACUGGAAUAUCAAAAGAUCAGGAGUUUCACUGUACUGGUAUGAGAUAUCUGUUUUGCUUAAACUUUACCCUUUUAAUAUUGUAUUACAUUUUUUUUUCCCUGCCUGUUUCAUUGACUGCACUUAUUUUAAACCUGUAUAAAAUCUGAAUUUAUGUAUUGAUUUCUAAUUUAAGUUCUCUUGCUGAAAGUGAAGCCCAUACAAACCUAUAGAGGACUUAAAUUCAUAUGAUAUAACAAUGGCAGAAUUGUAGAAAAAUAUGACUACCUGAUGCUGUGUUUUUUUUAAAUUACUAUUAAAAAGGUAAUAGAACUUGCUGAAAUGAACAUUUCAAUUGUUAUUGAACAAAUCUAUUCUUUAUCUGUAGUAUUUUUCUUAAGACAAUAGUAAUUUCAUGGACACAGCUGUUGGUAACAUUAAAAGGGUAAAUUAGGUGGGUAUAUAACAGUAUUGUGUCUGUAAACUUGUUUCUGCACUUGUGCUUCCAUUAAUGAGAAUUGUCUACUAGUGUCACUUAGGGUAGAUGCAUCUUCAUGGAUCAUUCCUCUCUCUUCUGGCCAGGGAAUCACACAGUUCAUUGUUUCCCAGCAUCACUGUCAGACUUGAAGGAUCUCCUUCCCUGAGAAUAUAUCUACCUCGCAGUGUGGGUGCUGUCACUUCUGCCCGUGCAGACUUUGAAACCAGAAGACUGAGGUUUGCAUGUGGGAAAAUUUUGGCUAGGUUGAUUAUGUUCCAGUUCAGGUUGGGAAUCUCUGUGCUUGAUAGCACUGAAGCAGGAUGUAUUCAGUACUGUGAGAACAUGGCAAUGGUGCAAAGUCCAGUCUGGAGUGAGUUUUUUCAGUUCAUCCAGGCACAAGUAUUUUUACAAUUUUUUUGCUAAUAUUUUAUAAAUGUGAUGACAUAUAUGCAGUCUUACACUUGACUCUGACUAGAACUGAGAAGGCUCAUUUGCUCAUGCUUUAUGUUCUUCCUUGUCUUUCAAAAUUACUGUUAACUUGUGAUUAACAUUGUUUUCUGCGUUAUAUAGUUGCUGUUUAGACUGGAAGAACCAACACAAAUGAUGUCUCUUAAAUUGUAAUUUACAGUGUGCUAGGAAAAGCUUUUUAAAAACUUCUGUCUGAUGUUGACUUGCAUCUUCAUCUCUGAAAUAUUUCAGAUUAUCCAUCCUCCUGUGUGUCCUUAUUUCAGAAAAGCUCUAUUUUUUUUAACAUCACUCUUCCCUUUGAAAUGUAGUCUUUGAAUACCAAUGAACAAAAUAAUGUUUUUGAUUGACAGCUGUAAUUUAAAAAAAAAAACACCUCUCUUUCAGGGAAUUGUUUGUAAUGGCUUGGAAUAUUUGCUUUCUUAUGAUUCAGCACCAUUUCCCACAAGUGAUACAAUAUUUCUUAAGAGGUUUACCUUGUCAAACAUUGUUAAAAUAUAAAUAAAAUAAACAAAAUGGAUUUGAAGCUACUGGGUACCAGUAAUGGCUUGUUGUCUUAGAUGUGAAACAAAUAUGAAUUUUUCCUAAACUUUACCUAAACUGUAGAUUUUUCUCAGGCUACACAAAAUGACUGUUAUAUUCCUGUGCUGUUCACUACAGCUUUGUCUGGCUUUAAGUUUUGGAGUCAAGGGGCAGCAAGUGAUACCUAUGGAUUUCAUGUUAAGAAGUUGUUCAUAAAUUAUGGAUGAAGUGGGACAGUUAUUAGUAUUUAAAGACAAUUCUUGAAGAUGAAUAUUAAUAGGUGUAAAAACCUGAAGGAAUUCCAAACAAAACCUUUUUGAAAUAGGCCAACUAAACAAAGUUUGCAUGAUUCAAUAAAUAAUGCUACUGAUACUGAAAUGGUGGAUUAAUGAUGUAUACACAGAUAUGGGCCAUAUCCUGAUAUCCUGCCUGUUAUUUAUACAGAGAAAUGGAUCCUCAUAGCACAACUCCUUGACUGUUCAGUGAGUCUUCAGAGUUCAUUUUCCAAGUAGUGAUUUCUACGCAAGCAACUUGAGUGAAACCUUUGCACCAUUAACUUAGAUUGUUUGCUUUAAUCUUGGUCUGAGGCAGAUCUAUGUAAGAGAGAGAGAUGCCCUUGAACAGGGAUGGCCUAGAAAUAACCAAAACCAGGGCUAUUUGGUUGUACUGCCCUUCUAGAAGAUGUGCUAGAGAUCUAUGUGCUACUGGCUGAGAUGUCCUCACCAUUGGAGAAGCAAUUAACAAAAUCCCUGACUUGAGUCUAUGAAGCAUCUGUUAAGGAAGUAUAAAAGGUUAACUUAAAUCCCAGCACACAGUUGUCAGACUAGAACAAAUCAGCAUGGAGAAUUACCUGGAGGCACCACAAGGUUAAGGUGGAGCAUAUGUGUGGUAAAAAGGUUGUUUAUGACUAGCAGAAUUAAUUUUCCAGGAUGAGAAGGUCAGACAUGCAGAAAUGAAGGCUGUCUGUGAUGAGCAGAGGCUGUUUUAGGCUCUGGAUUUCACCUGGCAAACACCAAGGUAUAUUUCAUUGGUGUAUCCAAACUCAAAACACUUAAGGUUGUGAUUUCAAAAGUGCCAAUAAAUGUCUUCUUUGUACCAGGUUCAGUGGAUUAAUCAUAGUGAUUCUAAAGACAGUUAUUUCUUGUUUCCUUACCUAACAGUAUAAACUCUUUUAACCCUUCAAAAUGGAGUAUUUCUGUCUGUGUCAUGUAAAUGCAGGAUGUUUUUGUAUCAACAUGACAUGCACUUACUGUCUAAUUCAAGCAUCCAAAUAUAGUAGGCUCUAUAGUAUUUGUUGUAACUGAAAGUGUAUUUGUUAAAUUAAUCGAGUAUAUAAAUGUAUGAUAAUUGUAAAAAGCUGGAAAUGUUCAGAUUGGAUAUUCAUAUGAUAUAAAUUAGCAUUAUUCUUCUAUUGCUACUAUUGAUUAAGGUAGAUAUAUACUACCACUUACUCACUCCCAGCUUUUCUAUGGUAAAGCUUGAUUCCAAGACACUUGGUUGAUAUCCAAAGGAUGUGUACUAGUGUGUAAUUUUGUCUAAACUGUGCUCUACAUUUGUAAUAUGUUGUACUUAACAUUGGCAUAUAUAUUUUUUUAAAGAGUAAGCACUCACGCAUUAGCUUAUAUGUUCUAGCAGAGUUGAAGCUGGCACAACGAAAAAGUGAACUUGCUGGAAAUAAUUCAGAAAAAAAAGCUACUAAAGAGACUGGAGAUUGAUGGGAACAAUUAAUGGAAAAGGAAUAAAUGGUCUGGUUGUACCCUUCUCAUGCAGGCAAAAUUGAACAGAAGAUUAUUUAUUUGAUUUUGGAGGAGUGAGGGACAACAGCCAAGAAAGGAGAUGCAGCAGUCAGGGAAAAAGUUACUGAAGGGAUAUGAUAAAUGUCUCAUAUGCUUGAAUACAGAAAAAAUUUAAAAUGUGGUUCAGAGCAACGUAAUUAAAGUAAAAGGUUAAAUUCACUACAGAAAAACUAAGUAUAAAAAUUAGAUGAAUAGAAAAAAAAAA